GUAACCCAGUGAAAUUGAUACUCGACUCUUCCCUGCCCAGGGUCCACCCGCGUAAAUCAUAACCAGAGGAAACAAAAGCCCUGCCUGAGCAGUGUGUCUUGCCGGCAGGCAGGCAAGGAACGAGGCUGAGUGACUCACUCUCUCCAAGUCUGGUUGGAGGAGAGGCACAUGGUUUCCAGGAAUUUCUUUGCAUUGUUUUAUAUGUAUUAAGGGAAAAUUAAAAUAAAAGGAUCUGAAGUGUUGAGAAAGGAGAAGAAGGCUGAAUUUAAAAUGGGCAGACAUAUAAGGCCAGGCUGGCAAAGGGGCCUUGAAUUGACUGGCUCAUUAAAUCUCCUCGAGGCUUGUAGACACAUCGAGUUCACAGGGCUCUUGCCUGCUGUUAAUGCUUGCAGAGAGAUGGGCAAUGUCCAAAUUGCAAAGCUCCACGAAGCAAUGUUCUCAGCUUAAUGAAGAAUGAUACAGAUGAAGGGAAGCUGGGGAAAAGAACUCACCCCUUUUGCAUACCUACCCUGCUCCAGGUGCUCUGCAUCUGCCACCGUGCAGAUUGUUACAGCAACUCACCAGACCACAACUUGCAGCUCACAACACAACAGGAAGCUUAAAGAUGCUUUGCUUGCUAAAGUGGAAGGCUGAAAGGAGCAGAACCAGAAGAGUGCUGGAGAGAUGGAUGUGGGUGGCGUUUGUUUUAUGUACUUACAAAAGAAGAGCUGCAAGUAGCAUAUGAAUCUCCGGUUCAAUUAGACAAACUUGUAGAGAAGAAAAAGAACUUCCUCAAGAAACUGACCACCACCCUGGAGUGGUUAAGAAUUGACCACUCAACAACGCUGGAUUAUAGCAAAUAAAUUUUCACGUUAGAUUGUUAAAAAAAAAUAGUGAACCCUUACACAGCAUUUGUUAUGUGUCAUGAGUUUUUCUGAGUUUUUCAUAUAAUAGCACAGUUAAUCUGUAUCAAAUCUUUGAGUUAGGUACUGUAUAUGAUCUCUAUUUUAUAAAUGCAGUAACGGU
rnacentral:lncRNA from 1 species